rnacentral:lncRNA from 1 species
AAAUUUAGAUAGUUGUUUUCACAUUCUAAACUGUACAAUUGAAGCCACAUUGGCAAAUUUCAAUUUACAUUACACAUUGAUAUAAUUGUCAUUUACAUAUAAAGAACUUAAAUGCAUACAAGCUCAAUUAUAACAGUUUAGUACUUAAAUAACCUUGAUCAAACUAACUCCUAACAGUCAAAAAAUGUACUGCACAAAUUCUUAAAUUAACUAUACAAACAAAUAUAAUCCAAAAAGGAAAUGGAGACUAUAUUUUGUGCUUACAUAAGGUGGGAUUGGCACUUGGAACAUUUAUACCCAGCCAGCGAGCUCGCCCUUCAGAAACUGAAUCCUUAAUGCUCAGAAUUAUACACAUAGCAUGCUUUGCAAAGUAGUUCUUGUCUUGCAACUAGGCUUACCAAUGUGGUUCCUAUUAAAUCAAUAUUUAUUGGAGCCCGAUUAUCACCAUUUUCAUUGGUUGGCUGCAAAGAACAGAAACAAAAAAUUCAAAUCAAAGGUAAAGCUAAACAAAUUAGCUUUUAAAGUAAAGAAAAAAACGCAGAGCCUCAAAAAAUCCAAGUAUCACCAUUUUCACUCAUUAGCUCAAUCUCGAUUUUAUAUUUACGGCACUCUAUUUAAGACAUAAAACCAGAAAACUUCUUCAUUUGUUUGGGGUUUGACCACACUCACAAGGGUAGGGAGAAAAUUGGGUUGCCGUUAAGCUAAAUAAUAAUGACAAUAAAAUAAAUAAAAAAUAAAAAAGAAGUGUAGCACUACAUACUUCUUUCCCGUCAAAAUACAGCCACUGGAAUACAACCCAAUUUAGCAUUUUGAAUAAAACCAUGCAAGUCUUAGGAUCAAUAGCCUGAAGAACAAAACAAUGGAUUAAAUAAAAAAAAUACCAUUAGCGCCAUAAAUUAUAAUCUGCUGCAAGAUUUAAAUUAUAAUCUAUUAAAUUAAAGUAUUAAUUAGAACUCAAACAAAUUUAUUUAAGGAAAAAAAACUAGAGUUGUUCAUACGGCAGCCAGGAAAAUUUAGAGAAUUUAAUUGAAAAAGAUAUUAAUGCUUUAUAAGUAAGAAGAUUUCGAAAUUAAUUAAGCCACGCAUGAACAAAAAUCUAAUCAAAUAGUCAAAGAAGAGAUUAUGUGAUAAUUGGCCAAACCCAUGUAACUUUGAAGUUGAUUAAAUAGUAUAAAAAUUCACCCAAAAUGAAUUUAACACAUACAUGAUAAUUAGGCAAAUAUCUGACACCUGUAAAUUUAUACAUGAAUUUGAAUAGAUUAAACAAAAAUAAGAGAAGAAAUCAGCCAUUACAGUUUAGAAUUUGCUAGGUAGUAUCAACUUUAAUACCCAAAAACAGAUUAUGGAACGAACAUACAAAUUUUUUUUUUCAAAUAAGAAUCGGAACUUGAAACAAGCAUGGCAAAAGAGACUAAUUUCAAUGACAUAAUACCUAAAUAAACAGAAUUUUAAUCAUGCGUGCAAGUUAAUUUAGAAAUGACUUAACAACAUCAACAUGCAUGCCAAUUUAAACAAGAAUUUUGAAGAAAAAUAAAGAAUAAAAUGAACUGAGAAAGAAGGCUUACAAAUUCAAAAAGCCAGAUAUUUAAUAUUUUGCUCUGAAAUUGAAUUCUCUCUCUUUAAAUCCAAAUCCUUCACCUAGCCUCUCUUGUCUUUCUCUUCUUUCUCCCUCUUCUCCUCUCUCACGUCCUGUUAUCCUCUUGUUUCCUUUCUUCCUUUUUCUGUUUUGUUCCUUUUGAAUCCGAACACUGGUUUUUGUUUCGUAAAUAAAUAAAGAAAUGCUAAAAUAUAAAGAGGUUCAUGGGCUGGACUUGUAACAAAAAUUUUACUAACAAUAUAAUAAGCAUAAGACAAUUAAAUCAUUAAUAAUUUAAAUUUUAUUUUUUUAACAAAUAAGUAAACUCCACUUAGUAAAAAUCAGGGCGUUUCAGUCCUCUUUUCUGUCAAUGUGAUUUUCUAUCCCCUUACCCAUAAUUCACUCUUUUUCCAAAUUCAUUAACCAAGAAAAUCAAGAAACAAAAGGCCAAAGUGCACGACAUAUUUUAUAAUAUUAUGAAAGGAAAAGGAGAGACUAAGGUACAAGCUACACAACACAAAAUCACCAAAUCGAUUAUAAAUGAAGAGGAAAUAAAUCCGACGAGCAAAUAUUUCAAAGCAAAUUAAGAGGAAAGAAUUGCAAAAUUGGAGAAAGCAACUCACAGUGGUGAAACAAUAACCCUGAAUUCAAAAUUUUAGAAUAUCAUUGGCAACAAUCUCACCAACAUUUUCAAGAUAGCACCCAGAAAAUUUGAACUGACUUGACAGCGGAGGCAGUGUCACCACAAUAACCCUGCAUCUGACGGUGAACGAACACAGAGGCAAUGUCGGCAGAGAUGACAGCAGCUGUUUUGCGGAAGUGAAUCGGCUCAAGAAUGGCAGAGAUUGACAGCGGCGGCAGAAAAAGGAAGCAAAUCGGCUCAAGGACAGCUAGACUCAGCGCUGGAGCACUUGAAUCGAUUUGACAGCGGCAGCGGCAUUGACGUUUGAUAGCUUAGGUAGGGUUAGGGCUGGUGUGUGUGACUGAGUGAGUCGUUGUGAUUGUAAUUCGUGAAAAUUGAAGAAGAAGAUAAGGAAUGUGAGUGGUUAGGGAUUGCGCGUUACCUUUAUUCCUUUUAUCGGCUUUUUUUUUUAAAUUUUUUAAGGCAAAUAACAUAUAACGACGGUUAUUAUAAAACGGUCAUGAAAUGUAUUACAAACGAUUCUUUAUAUUCGAUGACGGUUAUUAAACACCGUCAUUAAAAAUAUUGUGGCUUUCUAAUGAUGGUUUUUAAACAAAACCGCCAUUAAAAGUAAAAUUUUAUAGUUAAUGAUAGUUUAUAUAUAUAACUGUUAUUAGUGAUUUUUAAUGACAGUUUUGUUUAAAAACCGUCAUUAAAAGUAAUGAUUUUAUAUUUAAUGACGGUUAUAUAGUAAAACCGUCAUAAAAAGUAAUAGUUUAAUAUGUAAUAACUUUUAAUGACGGUUUUUUUUAUAAAUCGUCAUUAAAAAUAAUAACUUGAUAUUUAAUGACGGUUAUAUAGUAAAACCGUCAUAAAAAGUAAUAGCUUAAUAUAUAAUGAUUUUUAAUAUAAACCGUCAUUAAAAAUAAUAACUUGAUAUUUAAUGACGGUUAUAUAAUAGAACCGUCAUUAAAAGUUUGAAAUUUAUAAUGAUUGUUUUUACAAGUAACCGUCGUUAAAAGUAAAAUUAUAUUUUGGCAUGAUAUUUAAUGACGGUUUUAUAAUAGAACCGUCAUUAUAAAUAUUAUAUAAUAUGAUCGUUCAUAUAAUAACCGUCAUUAAAUAUUUUUAAUGACGGUUUUUUAAAUAAACCGUCAUAAUGUAUGGGUCAUUGUUUUACAUUUUUGUAGUAGUGAUACUAAUUAUGUUGACACACUUUGACCAGUGAAUUCUAUGAUCAAGUACCGAAAAUCCGUCAAAAGAUGUAUUGCAUAAAUUCUAUAUAGUUAAUCUAUAAUCUCACUGCUCAUAAUUGCUUCACCAAGAUACUAGGUAAUCUUGACUACAAAUAUAUGUCACGCCCAUUAGUAACUCAAAUGAAAUGACUAUCACAAACAUGAAACUAUAAUUAACUCAAGAUUGAGAUUGCAAUAAAAUUAAUGCCUAUGAAAUUUAAUAAGUAUGACAAUCAUUUUAAGGUUAAUUAAAUCUCAUAUAUGAUCCAGUUCAAUAUAGUCGAACUACGUCAGUAAAUUCAUACAUGAUUAAGACAAAUUAUUCAAUGAAUUUACCACAGUCUAAACAUAAAAAGAGCGCCCAACUCUAUUUAUCAAAUGCGAACUUAAUUUAUUUAAUCAUAAGAUAAUUUAAAUUUAUGUUUUCUAUGAAUCCAUAUGAUGAUCACAUAAAAUACAUAUAAUAAGAUUAAACGAACUUUAUUCAAAAUUUUUAUGCAAUUAAGAUGUCUGAAAAUGUCUCAAAUAUUUUAUUACUCAGAAAAUAAAUAAAUCAAUAUGCUUUAAGAAGCACAUAAUUUCAUCCACUGAAGUUAUUGGACAUUUUGAGGGACAAAAGAUUGAUGUUUAUUUGAGAUUCAGUGCAUAGAAGUGAGUUUGAAUCAAUGGUCAGUAUGUUACAAUCUACGAUUCCUGAAGGAAAGAAAUCUUUUUGUGAAGGAAAAAAAUAUUUUCAUAGGAUUCCCCGUUGGAAGAUCUUUAAAGCCAAGGCACUGCUGAUAUUAAUUUUCAUCCCAUAAUUAAAGAUGAUAUGUUUCUUGAUUUGUUCUUAGGAAUACAAUGCAUCCAUCGAGUUUUACUGGGCAGCCUUUACCGCCUAGUCCGUUUUGAAUUGUGCAACAUUCCAUAUAUUACAAAAUAGGCUACAUACUUGACUCCAUUAUAUUUAGAGGCGCUAAUUAAGAUCAAUGACAUGCCAUCAUCAGGAGACGGAUUAGAAGUUAUGAGUCAUCAAUCUUUAUAUGAGGAUAUAGCUAUAGCUGUUGACGAAAUGAUGGACAUAUAGGAGACACCACCAAAAAUAAAUUAGCCAGCAAUAGACAUCCAGCAUUAGUCAAAAGUCAAAAGUAGUCAGAGUCACGUGUUUUUACAGAUGACCUUCCUUUACACAUUACCCCAUAAGGAAAAAACUGUGAAGGCAUCUUUUUCGCUUUGUCUUUUGUUACCGACAGUGAGUCAACAUAAAAAAUAGUAGCCAGUCAUUAUUUCUCGAUAGUGAGUCAUUACAAAAUAAUAAUAACUAGUCAGUCUUUUAUUUUUCAUCUUUUUAAUUAAUCGUUGGCCUUUUGCACAUGUAAAGUGCAAUUUUAAAGUUUUGUCUUUUGUAGAUAGAGUCAUAAUUGUACCAAUGUCUUCAAGUGUAUAUAAACCCUUUAAGUCAUUUUGAGAAGAGACAGGGAGUAAGAAGUGAUUGUGUAAAAUAACAAGUCAAUGCUUUGUAAUAAAAAAAAGCAAUAAAAAGUUUCUUAUCCAUAAAUGCCUAGCAAUCCUUUAGACAACAAUUAGCAAGUUUCUAUCAAGUAGUUUAAAUUCUUUACUUUUAUUUAUUUAGCUUUCAGGUUUAUAAGUCUCACCUAAUUAAUGAAAGUAUAAAUUAUAUUUAAAACAUUAACAAAAGGUGGUCCUUGUUAGCAUUUAGGAGAAAAGACUUUGGAGGAAAAGUUCUUGAAAAUUAAGGUUUUUAUUUUUGACAAAAAUAAUAAGAACUUAGUAAAGUUUUCUCUGAUUUUCUGAACUUAGUAAGAACUUCGUUGGACCGUUUAGCCAUUAAUGCGUUAAGAAUGCGUUUUUGGGAAUGAGUCAAAAGUUAAAAGUGUUUCUAACUAGCAUGUUUUAAAAAGUAGUUAAAUACAAACUUUGAAAGGCUAAUUUCUGCCAAAGCAUCUUCUAUAGUUUUCAUAAAACAUUUUGUGAAUUCUCUAUAUAUAGGCGGGAAACCAGUGACGUAUAUUAUGAUGGUCAACCCAAACGGGAACUAGAUUAGUUUUCACUGCUGGUAUACCAAGUCACGUACAAGUCUUCCCCUAGCCUAACCUAGCUGCCCUUUCCUCUUUCCUCUUUCUUCUUUCCUCUUUGGUAUCAGAGCACCUCUUUUGUUCUUGUUUUAAUUUUUUUUUAUGUGAGUAAUUAAAAGGUAGACUUCGUUUAGUUUAAGAUAUAUUUUGCACAAUUGCUAAAUUUGACAAAAAUCUUGAAAAAAUCUAUAAAAAUCCAUUUGUUGUUUUAGGAAAGGAUUAUGUUACUUGGAUAGAAAAUAACCCUUAUAUAGAAAUUUUAAAAAGUGCUUUAGAAAUUGUAGAAAUUGAAGUAGUAAGAAUUAGUAGUGAACAGUUCCAAUUAGACACAUUAUUAGAAGAAAGACGAGGAAAUAUAAAACUUCCUAUAGAUUACACAUCUCCUUCACCUCCUAAAAUAGAAAGAAAAAAAAGUAUUAAACAUUACACUUUUACAAAUUUGCCUAUAUUUAACUUUAAAAAGUAUAAUUUACAAUAGUAUAAUAUUAAUAAGCAAAUAAAAUUAUUAGACAAGUACGAGAAUCUAUCAUUAAAAAUUAGAAAUAAAUUAGAAGAAUUAGAAAAUUAGUUUAUAAAUUCUCAGAGAUUAGAAUAUUUAGAUUUAGAAAUUAGCAAUCAUAGAAAACAAAAAUUAAAUUUGACAGAAAGGUUAAAAAUCAGUUGUAAUAGAGAACACUUAGAAAAUUAAUUUAAACAUAUUCCACACACUAGCAAUAGUCAACAAAAUUUCAUAGUCGAUUUAUUAAUCAAUUUAGGACAACACUUUGAAGUCAAUAUUAAAAAGCUAAAAGAGCUAGUACUAGGACUAGGAAAAUUUUUUAAACUAGUAAUAUUAAUACAUUAAGAAGAAAUUUAGAUUAUAUUAAAGAAUUAUUAGCAAAUUUUAAUAGUUAUGUUAAAAGAUUCCCUAGCAAUAAAAAAAUAAUAGAAUUAAUUCAAUUUUAGACAUAAAAACACCUUAUCCAAUAGAAUUAGAAAUGAAAAAUCUUGUAGAAAGUUUAAAUGUAGAAAUAGAAAAUAUUAAAUUUACACAGAGAGAUCUACAAAUACAAUUAGAUGCAAUAAGAAUAAUAGUCAGUGAAUGAAUUCAGACAAGUUAUUAAUAGAAUCUUUAGCAGAACUAAGACGUGAAAUCCCACAUCUAAGUGCCAGUUUGGGAUUGCAGUUGCUGCUUCUACUUUGCAGAUGCAAUAAACAACUGAUUAAAAAAACAGUUUGGUGUUUGAUAAACUGUGUUAUUGUAAUUGUUGUGAGUUUGAAAAGUAGUGUACAUGUGUUUGGUAAAUUUUAUUACAAAUGUGUUAUUUUAUCAUAUAAUGAUCAAAAUGGACAUAAGUUUAAAUUACCUUUUAUUAUUAUUUUUGAAUUAUGUUUAAUAAUGUUUAGACAUGCCAUUUUCUUUUUAAAACACAUAAAAUUAUAUUAAGAGAAAAAAACUUAAUAAUUUAUUAUAUAAAAUAUUAUAAAAAUUCAUACUAAUAUAUUAUUCAGAUAAAAUAAAAAGUAAUAUUCAUUACUUUCACAUUAAACUUGUUGCAAUAAAUACCAUGACUAUAGAAAAAAUAUAAAUAGAUUGAAUGUUAAAAGCCAUGGUUAUGAAAUUGAUUUUAAAAGUUAUGGUUAAUUUUCAUGUGAAAUUGUUCAUAGUUAAAAAGAAAAUUACAUAAUUAUAUGCAAGUCUUUUUUAAUCUUAUAAUAGAAAAUACAAGUAUAAUAUAAAAAAAUAUGAACUUACUAGAUCAAAACUUUGAUAUUGGAGAGAAUAUGUAGUAGUUGUGGUGGUAAUUUAAUUGUAGCGGUAAUAUGAUAUUUAAUGGCUUAUAUAUUAGAGUGUACGGAAAAAUAUAACAUAAUUAUUUUUGUUAAAAAUUUAAUUAAGGUUAUAAUAGGAACAUUAAAAAGAUGUGGUAACUUAUUUAAUAAGCUGCUUAUCAAAAGCAACUCCCUACUUGCUUUUAAAAUUUACUGUUAAAAUGGAGAAAACUAUGAAAUAAGCAGCUUUUACAAAAUUUACCAAGCACUAUUUUUGUCACAGAUUAUAAAAUAAGCAGCUUAUUGAGUUUCAACAUCAAUCUCAAACAAGGCUUAAAUUUAGUAGGUUAUAACUUUAAAGAAUUUAGUCAAGAAAGUAAUAUUAUCCAACAAGCACAAACCAAUACUAUUAUUAAAUUAUUAGUCAAAUCAACAAGUUAGAAGACCUGAACAACAAACUUAGUAAAUUAGAAAAUAAAUUUCAAACCUUGAGAACAAAUAAAGAAUCUAUAUUAAACUUAGAACUUAGCAACUGAUUAGACAAUUUAGAUAAAGAAAUAGAUAUAUUAACCAAUAGAGUAGAAAAGUUAAAUUUAAGUGGACAAAUUCUAACACCUAGAACAAUAGACAUCAGAGAUAUUUUAGGACCUAAAGUAAUAUUAAAAAGUAAUGGACUUAGUAAGAAAUAGUAGAAUAGACAUAAAUAUGGCAGAAAGGCUUAGAAGAUCACUAUUGUUUUCUAGUAAAGGUAAAGAAAUUAUAGAAAGAAUUGAAGACAUGAUAGAUGAACAAGAUCCAGAUAAAUUAUUAGAAAAAAAGUUUCAAAUGAAUUAGAAAGAAAAGAUUAUAUAAUGAAUGUUUAAUGUCAAAAAUAUAUAUAAUAGUUUAUAUAUUUACACAGAUGAGACUAAAUUAUUGGUAGUAGAUAGAAGAGAAGAUUUAACUUUAAUUGGUCUAGUAGGUAGAGACUAUCUUAAAAAAUAAAAUUACACAGACAUACAUAUGAGAAUAAUAAUAAUAGGAAUUCUUAGUCAGACUAGAGAAGGUUUAGAUACUAAAAUUCAUUUAUAUCUAUAUGAUAGCAAGUUCUAUGAGCAUGAACAAGCUCAAACAGCCAGUGCAGAAGUAGAUUUAAAAAAUAAAGAAGUAGUAGUAGGAUGUAUACCUAAUAUAGACAUAGAUAUUAAUGAAUUUUGUAAACAUAUUAAAUUAAGUGUAUUAACUAAAAGUUGUAAAAUGAAUGCAGAGUAUAAAAACCUUAGGAUUAAAACAAUUUUUUUCUUGAAAAACUAUAUAAUAAAUAUCAUAAAAAAUUUAGAUUCGAAAGUAAAAAUAUCGUAGAUUGUUUUAAAAGUCAAUAUGUUGAAAUGAUAGUACCUAAGAAAUUAAGUAGUAGUCAAUUAAAUGAAUUAGAAUGGAUAUUAUCUCAAUUAGAACAAGAUAAUAUAUUAGAAGUACUAGAAACUAGCCAUACAUAUAUAAAUAGACAAAAUCAAGUUACACAAAGAUUUUAUAAUUAUAGACAGAGAAGUAAUCCAGAAUUAGAUGAAAAAUGAAGAAGAAAUAGAAAUUAAUAUGACUAUAAUAGACAAUUUAGAUAUAGACAAACAUAAAACAUUAUUUGAAAAUAGAGAUAAAAUUAUAGAUCUAAUAUUUAAUAACCCUAAAAAAUAUUUAGAUGAAGAAUUAUUUGAAAAAUUAUGUAAUAAUGAUGAAUUAAUACAUGAUGAUAUAGACAAAAAACUUAUAAAAAAUUUAGAUUUUAAGAUUUAUAAAUAGAAAAAAUUCAUUAUUUUGAAAAAAAUAGAUGAAAUAUUAAUAGGAGAAGAAGAUAAAAAGCCAGAAAAAGUAGCAAUAGACCUAUAUUAGAACCUAUAGUAGAUCCAUCAAAUGUAGAAAGUUAUUUAGAUGAACGAGGAAUUCCAGAAACUAAUGAAAAAUACACAGAAGCAGAAAAAGUAUUUAAAGCUAAAACAAAAUUAGAAAAUUAGAAAACAAUACCGCAAGCCAGAGAUUUAUUAGUAUUAGAAUUAGAAGAUCAUAAACCUAGUCAAUGGAAACAAGUUUUUAACUAGUGGGUAGGUAAUUUACUUAGAUAUUCUAGGAAGCAUUAGCAAUGAUUGUAAACCCAAAUUAUGAAUUAAUAUAUUUAGAAAGUACUUUAGGAAGUAGAGAAAAACAAAUAUAUUUAGGAUGAAGAAAAAUAAAUUAGAAGAAUUAGACAAUUUUGAUAUCAAUAUUACACUAAUCAGUUUUAUAGAUUUAAUGAAAAAAUUAAUAUUAAGAGUAGACGAAAAAGACAAUAUUAUUAAAUAGAUUAAAACAAUUAGAAAUUUAGAACAAUUGAAAAUUUUUGAUUUAAGAAAUUUUGAUGAGUAUGCUAAUUAUUUUUAUAAAUAUUAGAGUGAAAUAGCAUAAGAACCGAUAUAGUUAAAAUAAGCAACCUUAUAGGUAUAACAAUAGAAAAUUCUAUAAAAAGAAACCUUGAUGUGCAAGUAUUCGCCUAUUGUAAAGCUACGUGAUGGAUGUACAAAGUUUGUACUACAAAUUAGUGAUCAAUGGCUAUGUGAGCACAUGUUACUGGCAAUGUCUUAUUAACCGAAGCUAUAGUUGUUAACAUAUUUUCCUGUUUCCGUGUGAAAACGUGGAACUGUAGUCAAUUGUAUUUUGUUUUUGCAUUCAAGUUUAAGGCUAUGUUUAUGGAAUUGGAAUAUAAUGCCAUCACUGCUUUUAGAAGGGACUUGGGCAAAUUGGCUAGAAUCAAAAUUCAAUCCUUUUACUCGAAAGAUCUAUUUUAUGAGUAGAGGUGGUAAAAAUAUCUGUCUGGUCCGGACUCGGACCAUACCCGGGUGUUGUGGGCCGGGUAUUACCCGGCCCGGGUAUGAAGUCGGGUCGGUCUUGGGUAUCACUUGAUAAACCUAGAACCUGGAUUUUAUUAAAAAUAUAUUAUAAAAUAUAUAUUAUUUUAAAUAUUUAUAUUUAUUUGACUCAUUUGUUAUACAUAUAUAAAGUUUUAAACACUUAAAGUUUAUAUUUUCAUGUCAAAUUUUAUUGAAAUAAAUUUAAAACUUAUAAAAUUACCAAAAAAAAAAAUAUACACAUAUAAUAUUAAAAAAUAUAAAAUUUGGGUACCUGAAUUAAAACCCAGCCCGGACCCAGACCCAGACCGGUUGCAUCCAGGCAGGGUUCGGUCAUUGCAAUACCCGGACCUGGCCCGGGGUUUUGCCAUCCAUAUUUAUGAGUAUGUCUCCAAAACAUCAAAGGUAAGUUUCACCCAAAAGCUGCACAAACAUAGAACAUUCACUACAAAAGAAAGUGUCUUUCGUGACGGCUCUUGUGACUGCAAAAUUAGUCGUCGCAAUUCUCACUUACAAAAUAUGACACUAGCUCAUGGAUAACUUUGUUGGGUUAAACAAUAACUCAGUCCAAAUUCAUUUCAAAAACACAUUUGACCUCAUUUUAAAAAUAAAAAAUCAAAAUCAAAAAGCAUAUUAAAAAGAAAAAAAAAGAAGCGUUGUUACGAAGACAGAGCGUGCUUUCUCUGUGGCCUAUGCUUUCUCUGGUUCUUGCUUCUUUUUUUUGUAAGUUUAUUCAAUUCAAGUUUAUUUCUUCUUUUUUUCUAGAUUUAAUUUUUGUUUUUGAAAUGUGAAAAAGCUUAUUGUUGGAAUUGUGAAAGACCCAUGCCGAAUUGAUUCUUAAAAUUUACUAGAGAAAAAAAUUGGUGUAUAAUUCAUCUCCUCUCUUUGUUCUCAUUCACUACAACAUCCAUUGCUUCUUCAUUUACAACACACCGGUAAGAGAACUUAACUGAUAUUUUUGUAAUUUAUCCUCGUUAUUUUCCUUUUCUUUCUAAUUACUGCUCUAUUUUGAGUUUAUGCAUGAAUGAUUUUUAGGCUAGAUCUAGCUCUAUUUUCAUUGAUGAUCGUUAACUUAUCUAGAGUAUAUUUUAUGUUUAAGCAAUUUUUUUGAAUGAAUCUAUUUGUGUACUGAAUAUGAAUUUGAUGAAUUGGAUUGCUCAGCUGUAACUUAUUUAGAGUGAAUUUUGGUUGUUGAAUUCUAUUUGAGUAGCUUCUGUGACUAAUUCUACUUGCCAACUGAAUUUUAAAUUAGAUGAAUUGUUUUAUUGAGCUGUAAUUUAUCUAAUGUGAUGUUCGUAGUUGAAUUCUAUUUGAACAGAUCUUGUGACCGAUUUUAUUUGCUUACUGAAUAUUGAAUUAUACAUUGGAUUGUGCAUUGAAGAAAAAAAGAAGAAGAAAAAAUGUCUUGACUUCAUAUAUGUGGAGAAUUAAUGUAAAUUGACUUGUUUUCUUGUGCACUUAAGGUUAGUAAAAAUGGACAAGAGUUGGAUUGAUUUGCCAAAUAAGACAGCCAAACCAUUUACUGAUGGGGUUAAGACAUUCCUCGAUUUUGCAUUUAAGAAUGUUGUUAAUGACAAUAGGAUUUAUUAUCCAUGUAAAAAAUGUCGUAAUCAGUUUUUUGUUGUAAAAGAGGUGGCAGAAGCGCAUAUUAUAGUACAUGGCUUUUGGUCAAAGUAUAAAAAAUGGAAAAUGUAUGGUGAACCUAGUACAUCUAUAGAAUCUAACCAAGAAAAGGAGGUUAGCUAUAGUUCAAGUGCUGAUGAUGAUAUGGUUGGGAUGAUAAAUGAUGCAAUGUGUUCUCCAAAUUUAGGCUUUUGUUUAUUUGAUAAUCCUUCAUUAGAGAAUAAACAUUAUAAGGGUCCAAAUGAUAGAACUAAAGCAUUUCUUAAAUUACUUGAAGAGGCAGAAUCUCCUUUGUAUCUAAGCUAUGAGAAUUUUACAUCAUUGUCAUUCAUUGUUCGACUUCUACAUAUGAAAGUAUUAAGUGGAUGGACAAACAAAUCAGUGACAAUGUUGCUAAAAUUACUAAAAGAGGCAUUUCCUCAAGAAGCUAAAAUUCUAGAAUCAUAUUAUGAGGCUCAAAAGAUAAAUAUGACUUGGGUUUUAGCUAUAAAACAUGGGAUGCUUGUCCAAAUAAUGGUAUGUUAUUUAGACAUGAAUAUGAGGAGCUUGACAGAUGCAACAUAUGUGAAGCAUCUACAAAUAAGCAAUGUGGCGGUGAUCCUAGUUAGAGAUGGCCAAUGGGCUGGGCCAGCACCAAAGCAAGGCCUAUGCGUGCUCGUGCCCGUGCCGUGCCGUGCCCACUAUGUGUUUCGUGCCGUGUCAUGCCAUAAUUUUUUUGCUUAGACCUGGCCCGGCACAUUCGUGCCGUGCCGUCCUUAAAAAAAGUCUAAUAAGCUUUUUUUUUUUAAAAAAAAAAUUUUAAGAGCGCAUGUUAAGCUGUUGGUAUAUCUUUUUCAAAUCUAUGUACUUUUCUUAGGUUUAUGCCUUUAUUCAAAUUUAAUAGAAUUGAGAAUUCAAAACUCAAGUCCAUAUUUAAUAAUAAUAAACUAAUAAUAGUAAGAAAAUAUAAUAUUAAUUAUUAUGUUUGACCUUAUAGUAAUAGAUUUUUUUUAAUAUUUAAUAAAAAUAAUAAUAAAAAAAUUUUCUUAUAGGUUAACUUAAUUGUUAACUUAGACUUAUAUAGAGUCAUAAAUCAUAAUUCACAAUAAUAGUAAUGCAUAUUUAUAAAAUCAUGAUAUUUAUAAUUUAAUUCAUUAAAAUCAUGAUAUCAAUUAUUUAUUUAAUAAAUUACAAAUAUAAAUCAAUUAUAUAUUUUUUAAAACUAAGAAUUAAAUGAAUUUAAAAAAUUGAAUUUCAAGUUAUUUGUAAAAUCAUAAAAUUUUAAGUUUACUUUCAUUAAAAAAUAAAACGUGCUUAUUACGAGCUUUUUUUAUCGUGCCGUGCUUAACCCAUCUCUAAUCGUACCGUACUUUUAAGACCCGCGUGCCUGAAAUUCUAAGCUCGGCACGGCCCACGUGCAUGUCGUGCCGUGCCGCGUGCCCCACCGAAAUAUGCUCGUGUUGUGUCGUGCUACGUGCCGUCCGGUCCAUUGGCCAUCUUUAAUCCUAGUGGCCCUUAAAAUCAAGAUAAAAAAAAUAACGGCCAAACAAGUUUGGUAUUUUCCACUAGCACCAAGAUUACAGAGAUUAUUCAUGUUUUUAGAAAUUGCUUCUUUCAUGAGAUGACAUGUUGAAUCACGCACUAAGGAUGGUGUUCUGAGGCAUCCUACUGACAACCUUGCAUGGAAAACUUUUAAUGAAAAAACCACUGAUUUUACUAUUGAUAGUCGCAAUGUUAGGCUUGGAUUAGCUGCUGAUGGUUUUAAUAUGUCUGUGGCACUUAGUACAUGGCCUGUUGUUCUAAUACCAUAUAACUUGCCACCAUUGUUGUGCAUGAAACAACAAUUCUUCAUUUUAUUUGUGCUCAUAUAACUUGGCAUGUUGUUCUAAAGGACCUGGUGAUAAAAUUGAUGUUUUUCUCCAUUAGUUGAAGAAUUAAAAGAAUUGUGGUCACAAGGAGUACUUACUUAUGAUGCAUCACGUGAUCAAAUGUUUAAAUUGCAUGCAUCAUUAUUAUGGACUAUUAGCGAUUUUCCAGCAUAUGUUAACUUGUCAGGAUGGAGUACUAAAGGUGAAAAAGCUUGUCCUAUUUGCAGUUCAAUUUUGAAUGGCAAGUGAUCGGUUCAAAUUUAUCUAAGUUUAAGUCUCACCUCGGGAUUAUAGUGAAAAUUUGACUAAAGGUUCCUCUUACAUAUGCUGAAUGGACUCACAUGCGUGAUGAUGUCCUGAAAUUUAUUUGGAAAGAAGUGAAGGUAUCAAACUAUUUGUAUUUCUCUACUAUAUAUUAUAAUUCUUUAUUGUUGGUCUCAGUUAUUUGGUUUUAGAAGGACUAACAUUAAAUAUAUAAAAAAUUCAAUAUUUUCUUUCAAGAUAUGUGAUUUAUAAUCUUGUAUCCUAAGGGUAGUAUGCUUUAGAAUCUUGAUCGCUAAAAUUCCAUCUGAUAAUAUAUUUUGCCACUUUGUUGUUGGUCUCAAUUAUUUGCUCGUUUUCAUAGAGUUAUGAUACAAUUUUUUUUUUUAAUUGAUAUCCAUGGGCAAGUACAAAUGCUCCAGAUGCCUACAAACCUCAUUGCCUAAAGAAUGCAGGAAAACUUUGGAAGGAUUGGAAAUAUUGAGUGAAAAGUAAGCAUUAUAAUGGCAAGACAGAUGCAGAAUGCCUUACAUCCAUUCGUCCUAGGGUUGUUGAAGAGCAGUGGAAGACAUUGGUAGCUUAUUGGGGCACUGAGGAAUCUAAAGUAUGAGAUCAAUUUCCAUAACUGUUAACUAUUUUCAUGGCUUCAUUCUUAGCAUCCACUAAAACAAAAGAUAAAACUUAAUAUUCUUUGAGUUAUAGGCUGCUGCAGAAAAAAAUAAAAUAAAUCAUUCACAAGUGUAUUCACUUCCUAGAACUGGUCAAACUUUAUUUGCCAUUAAAAAAGAGCAGGUUAGUAUUAUGUUUUCCAAUCAAAUAUGUAGACAUGAGCUUUUUGUUUAUACUUUAUAGUGCUUUUACAAUUUUGGUCUGGCAUCCUAUGUUGUAAAUUGUUAUGAUUUUCAUUACAUUUAAAGUGUGCUUGAUUUUGAUUUUACAUUCUUCUAAUACUUUGAAUUCAUUAUCUUUUUCUAGAUGAAGAAACAAGGAAAAAGACAUAUCAAAUAAGCGUUUUUAUUGACACUCGAUCAAAACUAACAGUAGUAUAUGUGAUCUAGAGAGUGAGGAAAUAAUUGUAAGGAGGAAAAAAAUAUCAAGUAUUUUCAUAUUAUUUCAUAUUGAGAUAACAAACAAACAUUUUAUAUUCUAACAAGUUUAAAUGUUUGAAGAGUCAAUUUCAUGAACAUCUGUCUCACUUACCAGAGGAACAACAAAUAGAAGCUGUGAGAGAUUGAGUUUUUACUCAAGUGAUGGGACCUGAUGGUCAUGGAUAUGCUCGAACCUAUGGGCAUGGUCCAACACCAUCAGACGUGAUACGCACAAAGUCAAAUGAAGCUAAUGAAAUACUGCAACAAGAGGUAAAUCGUCUUAAAUCCAAUUAUGCUGACCUUCAAUGCAAAUAUAGUGAUGUUGAGAUACAUUCAUUUAUGAGAAGCCGUUUUGAUGAUUUUGUUGCUGAGAUUUAAUCAUCCACAAAUGAGCCGGUAUGAUUUUAAUAAAGUAGUCUAUUUCUAGCUAUUUUUUAUGCUCGCUUAUUCAUAAGUUCAUUUUUUGGGCCUUGCUUUAAAGAUUGAGACUUCAUUGACAUGGGAUUGAGGUUGCAUUCUAUUUAAUAAUUUUAAUGUGGGUUGAAAUUAUUCUUAACUUGAAAUGUUGUCAGUGUGAAAUAGGAUUUCAAGUAAGAUUGUGGGUUGGUAAAAGGAUCAAAGUGUGAGAAAUACAAAUAAUGAAGUGGUGGAUUAAGUACAUUUUGAGAAGUAACAAUUGCGAGGAGAAGUGGCUAAUUUGCUUCCGAGAAAACCUGUACUUGUUGAUAGUGACUGAUUUUAGUGAUUUAAAUUCUUUAAUUGUAAAUAAGUUCUUAAGAAUGACCUACUAAAUGAGUAAAUAUUUUUCAUUUAAUAUCAAGCACUUACCUUUGGAAUUAAUCAGCUUAUAGUGUAGAGAUAAUUCAUCAAUAUUCAUUGAUGAUUUCAUUUGUUUCUCACUUGCAGAGUCCAGAUGCAUCAAGCUCUCACCAUAACAAUCAAAAUGCAAACCCUGAUUUUGAGAUUAACAACUAGCAUGCUUGCCUGUGGCUUUGAUAAUUGAUUUGUAGAUUUUAAUGGAUAAUGUUGUUGGAUAAUUGGUUCAUUAGAUUGAUUUUACAACUUGUUAUGUUAAGCUUGUAAUUGUUACUUUUCAUUCACAUUGUACAUUGAAUUGAAAAUUAUCAAUUAUAUAUCUCAUAUUUUAUAAUUAUAUGAAUGUUAAUCAGAAUGUGAAUAACGUUCUUAAUAUAUAUUUUGGGUAGAAAAUUAAAAAAAAAAGAUUUGGGAAGAAAAUGAGUGGCUAAUAGUAGUUGAGAUGCUAAAUUACUUUACGACUCUAGUUUACCGUCACAAAAAAGACGAUGCAAUGGUAAUUUUCCAAUCGCAAAUAGAAAUCGACGCGAUUACCUGUGUCCACCAUUCCCCGUUGUAUUGCCGACGUCAAAAAUCUUUCAUGACGGUAAGUAGCCGUUGCAAAAGGCUCUUUUUCCUGUAGUGAAAAGGCGUCCUUUUCGCGUCUGAAAUUCGAAAUCUUGAGUAAAUCUGAUAUCUAUAGCCUACGCGUUACUGAUUUUUGUUUUGAUUUUCGACUCUUCUCAUAAUAAGAAAAGAGUACUUUAGCUCAACUGGAAGAAAAUGAAUAGUCAUCAUAUCUGCACUGGUAUCUGCCAAAGAAGGGAUCGUUCCAUUUGUUAAAACUUAAAACAGAGAAUAUGUACAAAUUUUUACCUUUGAAUACCUUAUUAUGAGCUUAUUUUCAUACAGAAAGUGAGAACCUCAACCUGUUUAUAAUUUAUUCCAGGUGAUAUGACAACUUGUUGAUCCGCAAAUACCAGAGGCUGCAUAAACAAUCCAUGUUGCAGUCAUCACUUAAUUUAUUUACAGGAGUUCCCAUUCAGAAUCACAUAUAUGUCUUGUAGGUGAAUUUUCUGAUUCCAAGGUAGCAGAGGAGGUUGCUGGCAAGAGAUUUUGCAAUGUGUCUUGUUCAGGCCCCAUAUAAGCAUCUCCAAACCAAAUUGCUAGCUGCUCGUACUCCUUAGCCAACCUCUUUUUUGGAACAAACGCCUCUUGGAUCCUUUUCUGAUGAAAAGAGAACAAAUUAGGACAACAACAAAUUCAUCUGGGCUUGACUAUUUUGAUGAUAAACAAAUACUUGAAAACAAAAAACAAAAAUGUUUUCUUGUAGUGUCAUUUAAAUGAAGCAUGCUUCCAAUGAAAUUUUUCUGGAUUCUGAUACAGGCAUGACUUACUAGGGUUCCAAACAUAUAUUCUAGGUUUCCAUGAAAAGGUGCUUCAUGAAAUUGAGAAAUAUAAUUGAGAUCUGCCAAUGAUGGUCACAUUUUCGUUUUGAUAUACAUAGCUUUUUUUUUCUUUUUCCUUAAAUUUUUACCUGUUAUGGGCAGAAAAUUAAUUACAAAAGGCAAAAAGGAUGUCCCUGUGGAUUUCUUUUUCAGUCAGGCCAUUCAGAAUUUGAAUAAAUAAAAAGAGAAUAUUCUCUCUUGUGAACAAAGUGAGACAACAGUAACUGGUGCAUGUGUCACAGAGAGAGAGAGAGAGAUGCAACCUUGAAUGACAUGAGUUUCCGGGUCCUAUAAGAGACAGCAUAAAGUGCAUUAUUGUCAACCAAGAUGCAGCUAUCCUCCAGCUCCAUGUUGUCGCACAAUUCAAUGGUUUCCAUCCCAGAAUAAUCCAAAUCAUCACCAUAAUCAUGUGAAUGUCCUGUAGUUGAUUUUGGAAUUAGAAUAAGAGAAAAUCUAAAUCAUUUAUAGUUUGAGCAAAAGGAAUAUUCUAGAAAUUUUGAGAACAUUAAUGUAUAUCACUGUGAUUUUUGAAAAGUUCAUAACCUCAUGGGCUUGGGGAAAAAAAUAGACAAUAGGUGUGUGAACAUGGAAUAACUGAGCUUUCUGUGGAGAAAUGUUAACUUGAGAAUCCAUCAAAGAAACUUGAAGGCGGUAGCCAGGGCAAGGGGAAACAAACCCUCUGUCUAUGUAAUAAAUCUACAUUUUUUUAGAGGAUAGAUAAACAUUGGCAGAUUGCCAGGUGCAUGAAUUUAUUAUUUGAACAACCCUUUUAUUUAUAAGCUAAACUUAAACACAAAACAGUUGCCCUGAACGCGUGAUAUUGUACAGGGAAAAACGCUCACUUUGAUUUUCAUGAUAGACAUAGAUGAAGUAGAAAACAUUUUAACAAGUUAAACACUACAGUUUUCCUCCUGAAACUUCCAAGCAAGUUCAGAAAGUCACAUCCAAAUUUGACUUAACAACCCAACAAUUAACAUAUUAAGAGACAAGAGAAAACAAGCACUGGAAGAUUACCAGGUUUUGAAUUUGAUAUUUGAACAAAUCCUUUGUUUAUGCGCUAAACUUAAGACAUGCACCAAUUGCCCUGAACAUGUGAUAUCCUAUUGGGAAAAACACUCACUUUGAUUUUCACAAUGGACAUAGAUGAAGUAGGGAAACACCUUGACAAGUUAUACUAAGGAACCCCUCCUAAAACUUCUGCACAAGUUCAGAAAAGUGGCAUCCAUAUUUGAUACCACAAACCAAAAUCUAACAUAAUAAAAGACAAGUGAGAAAACAAGCACAAUAAUGCCGGAGGUCAAUAUCACAUAAUCUGGGGUUAGACAAUGAUUGAUAAAACAGAACUAAAAAUAAAUAACUUGCUCAAACUAAAUAUCAGUUUUUUUCCAAGCACAACAGAAUGAGGCGUCAGCAAAGAAAUGUAAUAUCAGUUUCAUGAAUACUGUGAUUCAUCAGAACAGUCACAGUUCAAAUUACAACCAAAUUACAUACCUUGAAAAGGGAUCUAACAAGUAGCCAAACCUAAAAGGAAAUGACAAACGCAGGUGAACAGCAAGAGAAGAAAGCUCCGUGAAGGGCACAAAUAAAGUAGAAUACACAUAGUUUAUAAACACGCUCUAAAGGAAGAAGUUGAAGCGUAGUCUUAAUCAUGAACAUUGUUAUUACCAACAUAGUUUUCAUCAAAGUCAUCAUCAGUGUCACUACUAAUACGACCACCAAAUGCCAGGGAUUUAAAAGAAAAUGCCAGAAAAUUGGGACAAAAGAAGAAAAAAGGAACUUUGACAUACCAUUAUCUGGAGAGAUUGCAGAAGCCUCAGAUUGAGCAGUCCCACAAAACUCACAAUUAGUCUUUUGAGAUAUCCCACUUAGUGAUGUUUUGUAAUUAGUUCUGGAGACUUCUUCCUCUGACAAGACAGAAGUAAAUUAGAAUCAUGGUAAAAUAAUACCAUUUUGUAAGGAUUUGGAAAAUACAAACCACUAGAUUCCAAUGACAGGACACUGCUGGAGUUGAUAUGCUCCACCUCUGCUUCGUUGUCCUCGUGGGAUACAAUUGGAGAAGAUGUAGAAGACGGGAUUGCUUCAUAACUAUCAUAAACACACCCAACCUUAUCAACUGCAUCAGUACAAAUUAUUGUUUCUGCGGUUAAGCAAUCAUGCAAAUUUUUAGAUUCCAUUAAUCUGGGAUCACUAGAGGGAAUGAGUCUUGUCUCUAAUAUAUUUUCCUUACAAAAUGCAUCUGAGAAAGCCAUUUCAGAAGCAGCGAAAGUAUUUGAAGAAUCAGAAACACUCACGGAGUCAUCUGCAAAUUUAUAAGAAACUGCAUCCACUAUUUGGGUUGGUUGGCACUCCAUAACAUCAACUGAAUUUGCAUGUGCCAUCUCCACCACAACCCCAUGUGCAUUCUUAUCAUUAGAUUCACUGGAAUCACUAGACAAUGAUACUUCUGACAAGUUCAUCUCACCAAGAGACAUUAACUCCAACACCUCAGAUGUAGAUGACUUGUCUUUUAUGGCAUGUUCUUCAAUAUCCUUGUCAGAGCUCUCAUGUGCUAAAACAUCAACAGCUUUCCCGGAAACCAGAUCAGACUCUGUUUCAUCAACAGGAUCUCCGGAAACUGGGGUGAUGAGUUGAUUUUCAAGGUAAAGUCCACUAACUGCAUGACCAAGCUGGUUCUUUAAAUGAUCAACUGGGUUGGGCUCCUCCUGUGAUUGCUUAAUCAGAGUAUCCGCAGAAUUUUCUUCAGUACCUGUUACUGACUUAAUACAGGUGUCAAUGAAAUCAUCUCUUUUCAGAACCACUUCUUGUGCUUCAUGUCUUCCAUGGUCCACUGAAGGAGGAAGGAAAUCUUGGACAACAUCAGAACAGAAUCUUUUCACACUUGCUCCCAUUGUCUGCAUCUGAUUUUCAACAUAUUUAACAGUGUCCUGACCAGAAAAUAACUUCAAAUUAGGCCCAUCAACAAGACUGCAGAAUCAUAUCCUCAGGAAAUAACAAGAAAACAUGCAGGAGAAAACAUAUUAAUACCUCGCUCACAAUGUUAUCCACCUGUUGGCACAUUGUUUCAAAUUUCUGGGAGAUAUUUCUCCCAACACAAGCUAUACUUUUGAGUUUCAGAUCCAUUACAGACUUAUAUUAUAUUGCCGGAAUAAAUGUCUCAAACAGCUCCAACUUUUGUACAAAGUGCAAGCUGCAAGGCAUAUUAUUCCUACACCAGUACAAUGAACCGUCCUGCAUAGAGGCAACACUGCAUCAGAAUUUUCACAGCUUAAGAUAAUGGGAAAUGAGAACAACUCUAAGGAUCGCAAUAUCUCAUCUCACAUGAACUGUAUUGAGCUGCUGGCUAAACAAAAGCUCAUCAGACCUAAAAUUGUAAGAAUUUUGAAAAGCCCCAAAUUAAUUUUAAAACUUCUUCCACGCCUUUGAGAUAGUAACUUGGAUGUAUUCUUCUACUGCAAGUUCACAUUAAAAGGAUAUAAUGAUCAAGAGGAGAAGUUUGGGUGGUUGGACAGUAUAGGACUGAGAUAAUAUCAAGAAGACCAAAAAACCUUGAGAAACUAUUGUGUGCCUGCUUUUUGAAUACACCAUACGUAAAAUUUUUUGAUGCCCUCGCAGACACAUGCAAACCUAAAAUGAACUAGUGUUUGCAUCAAAGCUUAUGUACAAGGGUAACAUUACCACGAAACAAAGUUUUGUUAAUGAAUCAAGGAAAUCCUAUUUACAUCUUGUUAAUAAAAACCACUCAAUCUGGAAGAUUGUUUACUCUAUCAUGCACUUAUCUUGGGUUCCGGCAUUGUCUACCGUAAGGCUCAUAGCACUGCAUUUUCUACUUCUUCAGAAUCUCCGAACUUAUUUAUUGUUCUACAGGACUUCCGCUGGGAACAAGUGCCUUCCCCGAUAUAAACAGCUCACUUUGCAAUGCCCAAUGACAUUACCAACUAUGCAAACUAUUCCACAUCCACACUUUUUUAAGAACCAUAAUGCUCCCACCACAGUUUGGUACACUGAUAACUAAAUUCUACCUUUUGGCAUACUACACAUAUAGGAUACAAAAAGGUGUUUACCACUUCAUCCUAUUUUAUAAAAUAUAGCAUAAAUAAAAUUUCAAUAUGUUGUUCACUGAUGCAGUACCAUCACAUAAGUACUUAAACUUUUAGUAUACCAAACAAACCCAUAAUUUAAUUUUUAAUAAAAGAAAUCACUUUAAAAAAAAAAAGCCCAUAAUUUUAAUUCCUCAUUUUUCCCAUAUCCACAAUGACCAUAAGUCAAAAUAUACAUACAACUAACUCAAUUCGGUUUUCAUUGGUCAUGAUCACAAUUUAGAAUUCCAUUUACUCAAGAAAACCCACAAGAAUUAAGCUCUCUUAAACAAAGGCUCCUAGAUUAUAUCAAAAUCCCAUCUCGUUAAAACAAAGAACCCAUAUAACAAACAUUACAAAAAAAAAAAAAUUAAAAUUAAUCGUGCUCAACUUAUUAUAAUGAGAAUUUAAAAUCAUAAAAAAAAUUCCGUAGAAAGGACCAAUUUUUUACAUGCAAGAGACGCUGAAAGAGAUAAGGAAAGAAGAUUGGCGCGUUACCGAUUACCUAUAGCACCCAGUGAACGGCGGAGAUUAUCGCCGGUAACCUUGAUAGUGUAACUUUUAGCUUUUACAGGGGUUUUUGAAACUAUGGAGCUUAUAUUGCUUCCGUAUCCGACACAAGGGCUUUAGUAGUUAUCAUCAAUUGUGUUUUGGGCCAUUUAAUUAGUUAAUUUCUUUUUUUUUUUGUGGAGAAUUAUUAGUUAAUUAAUUUCUUAGACGGCGUUCUCUCUAUUCAACCUUCGCGCCCGGGGGGGGGGGGGGGGGGGAGGGGGGAUAAAGAAAAAAAAUCUUAAGAUUCACUAUUAUUUUUUAAAGGAUAUAUUUCAUAUUACCCCUUGUAAUUUGUAAAUUGAUAAUCUUAAAAAUAUCCUUCAACUAUUAUAAAUUUUAACUUAUAUUCGUUUUGGUCAAAAAAUAAGAACAAAAUAAAAUUGGGUUGAUAAAAGAUUUUUUAUCUUCUGUACAAAUAUAGGAGGUAAACUAAGAUUUAUAAUAGUUUGGGAGUAUUUUAAAUAUUGUUAUUGUACAAUAAUUUGAGGAUAAAAUGAAAAUUUUUAUUUUAAGUAGGGGUAAAUUAAAGUUCAUCUUUAAUAAUUAAUAUAAAUAAAAGAUGAUAGUAAUUGUCUAAACGGAAGAUUUAGAAUAUUGAGAGUUCUUAUCUUGUUUGUAGUUAUAUGUCUAAAUAAAGGAUGAUUUUAGCACAAAAGGCACUUGUUGCAACUUCCCAGCAAGUCAUUCAUCAUAUACCUUCUUGUUUUUAGAUAUAUGUCUAAACAAAGAGUUUAGAAUAUUGAGAGUUUUUAUUUUGUUUGUAGUUAUCUAUCUAAAAAAAGGCAAAGGAUAUAUUUAGUACAAAAGCUGCCUAAUUGUAACUUUCUAGCAAGUCACCCAUCACACUUAUAUAUGGAAUUUUAAACAAUUUUGAAGUAAAGGUUGUUAUAUUCUUCUGAAAAUUAAACGGUGAUUAGAGAAUGGAUAUUAAAUCAUUUAACUUAAUUUCUAUGUAGUCCUAGGGGUAGUGAUCAUAUCCAGACCUCCCAUUCCCCUUAUAAGGCAAACAAUCUCCUCCUUAGAGAUACGCUGGGACUCACUGACAUUUCGACAUAACUGCUAGUUGAUACAGUGCUUGUCCACUCCACUAGUUGACUGGGCCAUACUCAACCUCCGGCUCUACGAUACUAGCACACACUGACUAAUUGAUAUGAUACUAGCCCACCUAUCAAAUAUGUAACCAAACUCUAAUAUCACUUAUUAGACUAAGGCACUUGUUACUGUUGGUUAAAAAUACUUUUGCAGUGGAAAUAUUUGGAUUAAAAUUCUCAUACAAUAUAUAAAAUUACCAUAAUCUACAAAUCAUACAUUUACUUUUUUGUAGAAGUAAUAUAGGCUCGCAAAUCACGAUUUGUCACCACAAAUUUUGUUAUAUCACGAUCUAUUUCCAAAGAUCUUCCAACUUAUGACUCAAGUUUGAUUUGUAUCUUAACGUGUGGGUGCUUUUAUCAUCGUUGAAAGCAAUUAGCAAGAGGAAAUUUUUCUCUCAAAGUUAAAGAGAAAAACUCUUUUUUCCUUUAAUUUGUAUAUUGUGACUCUUCUAUAUUUUAUUGGUAGAGAAAACAAACUUUUUAUAUCUCUGUUUAGUGGAAACUUUAGACUUCAUAUUUUCUUCUUCUAUUUUUAAUUCUAUUAAAUCAAAUUUAAAUUAAAUUAAAAAAAUGAAACCAAAAGUGGCAUUACUUGUUCUUGUUAUAGAGGGCUCCGCCUUGUAAAAUAACACAAGACCCUUAUAUACAAGCAUAUUAAAUGAAACCUUCUACCAAAUAAUAUCUUGCUUAUUAAUCCAGUAGUGAUCUCACUUAUUAAUCCAGAAAAGAAAUCAAUAGGCUUUUAACUCAAAUAACUAGUUAUCUUACUUAUUAAUCCAGUAGUGAUUCAGUCAAUUAAAUGAGCUAACCCGAGGAUCAUAUGAGUACAUACAAUAGUUGCUAUAAUAAUUAAGUUUGAAAUUAAAUUAGUCCAAUUAUUUAAUUCCAAGUCUGCUCCACUAAAAAAUUAGAACUGACCUCCAUAAUUAUAUGCUAUCUAAGAUAGUGAUCUCGAAUUAUAAUUCGACCCAUGCCAGAUUGAUUUAUUUACUGAACAAUCCUUUGUACCACAUUGCUAAUUAAAUUGAUAUCUCAACUGUCUAAUCAAUUUAUUUACAUCUUGUCCCUUGACUCUUACUAGCUUUUCUCUAAUGAUCAUUUUCAACAUAUUAAUUAUGCUGACACACGCUGGCCAGAGAAUUCUAUGAUCAAGUACUGAAAACUCAUUAAGAGAUGUGUUGUACAAAAUCUAUAUUGUUAAUCUAUAAUCUCAUUGCUCAUAAUUGCUUCCACCAAGAUACCAGGUAAUCUUGACUAUAAAUGUAUGUCGUGCCCAUUGGUAACUCAAAUGAAAUGACAAUCAUAAACAUGAAAUUAUAAUUACCUUAAGAUUCAAAUUGGAAUAAAAUCAAUAACUAUGAGAUUUAAUAAGUUUGACAAUCAUUUUAAAGUUAAUUAAAUCACAUAUGUGAUCUAGUUCAAUGUAGUCAAACUACAUCAGUAAAUUCAUACAUGAUUAAGGCAAAUUAUUUAAUGAAUUUAAUUUAGUCUAAAUAUAAAUAAUGCGCCCAACUUUAUUUAUCAACAACGAACUUAAUUUAUUUAAUCAUAAAAUAAUGUGUAUUAUGUCUUCCGUGAAUUCAUAUGAUGAUCACAUAAAAUAUAUAAUAAGAUUAAACAAAUCUUAUUCAAAAUAUUUAUUUAUGCAAUUAAGAUAUCUGAAAAUGUCUCAAAUAUUUUAUUAAUUAGAAAAUAAAUAAAUCAAUAUGCUUUAAAAUGGUGACGAUCUUUAAUUCGCUGGACAUGCUCCUGAACAAGUGAGUCUGUUGGACGGUUUGGAAUUAUGGCUUUGGACAUGUCCGGUAACUAUCCAUUUGUUGAUCCACUAAAUGCGAGUUCAGGACCCAGAGGGUUACAUAGUUUAACAGUUUAGCCUAAUGAUUCAUGUGUUAACCAGAUGCCACCAAGUUUUCCCCUAUAUAAAUACAUGAGUAAUGAAAUUGAAAAAUGACUAAUGUUUGUUUGGUAUUGAGGUGUUUGUUUUUGGCAAAUAAAAGCUCUGAUUGUCAAAUGAAAGUAUUGACUGGUAUUAUUGUAUGCAUAGAAUGUCAAGUAAAUGAAGUUGUUGUUUUUUUAAUUGGUUAUGUAAAUAACACAGCUAUUGUCUAAAUUGUUUGUUUUAGUUAAUUUCUACUUCAAUUCUGGUACGAUUUCUUUUUUUUUUUUUUUUAAAUACACAGCAAUAUUUCAUUACAACCAUUAACAAUAGCAAUAUAAAUCCAGAAAUACAUCAGAAUUAUAAAUCAACUUAAAUCCAA